ACCUAAAGAAACGUGUACUAUAUUAUCAAAUAACAUAUGACUAGUUAUCUAUUCUUGAAAAUAGUUAGCUUCUCUGAUUGUCACUAAUAAACGUCUCUGGAUAGAGAAAAUUACUACGUUUCCUUCAUUAUUGUGAAUUAUUAUAUUUAUAUAAAAUGUCUUCUGCAGUCAAGACAUUACCCAAACCAAAUCUUCGUAAUUUGUUAUUAAGGAAGAUGAAAAUAGCUUUUAUCGGUAUGGCAGUAACUUCAACUCUUACAACAUUAGCCUACAAAGUAUUUAUUGGUGAUGCAAGGAAGAAAAAAUAUGAAGACUUUUACAAAACAUACGAUCCAGAAGUAAGUCUCAAGCGUAUGUGCGAAUCCGGUUAUAUGCAGUCAUGCGGAGAUCAUCAUAUAGUUUAUGAGUAAUUAUUUAAAUAAUGUACAUAGUUCGUCAUAGUAUACCGAAUUCAUAUAUAUAAAAUAACUUAAAUAAAAUAUACAUCUGUUAUAUACACAUGUCUAUAAUACAUUAAACUUUUACAUUUAA